rnacentral:rRNA from 1 species
GACGAACGCUGGCGGCGUGCUUAACACAUGCAAGUCGAGCGGAGUUACGUAUGAAGUAUUUCGGUACGGACUACAUAACUUAGUGGCGAACGGGUGAGUAACACGUGGGCAACCUGCCCUUAACCGGGGGAUAACAUUGUGAAAACAGUGCUAAUACCGCAUAACAGAGUAUCGGGCAUCCGAUAUUUUUAAAAGGAGCAAUCCGGUUUAGGAUGGGCCCGCGUCCAAUUAGCUAGUUGGUGAGGUAACGGCUCACCAAGGCUACGAUUGGUAGCCGAACUGAGAGGUUGAUCGGCCACAUUGGGACUGAGACACGGCCCAGACUCCUACGGGAGGCAGCAGUGGGGAAUAUUGGGCAAUGGGCGAAAGCCUGACCCAGCGACGCCGCGUGAAGGAUGAAGGUCUUCGGAUUGUAAACUUCUUUGAUCAGGGAAGAAGAAAUGACGGUACCUGAAGAACAAGCCACGGCUAACUACGUG